UUGGAUUUAAACUUUUAGUUUGUGCGGGGGCGCACUCAUCCCUGGCUUUUGUAGGAGGCAGUGCUCCUGACUUCAAGCAAAGCUGUGCACUUGUAAUUCUGAAUAUAUCUUCCUGCAGUAAAGUUCAGGCGAAAGCGGAGACAGCGUGCGGUUCCAACGCCUUAAACCGCUCUCAUUGUGCGUCGGAGAGCGGCAGCUGCAGUGAUGGAACCGUGCACAUGAGAAUGAGCUAAUGCUCUUCCAUUAGAGGCGUCGGCGCUCGGAUCUGAGGCCGAGCGGAACCCGUCGGGGCCCUUUGUCUCCGGCGCAGCAGCAGCGGCACUCUUAGCGCUGCGCGCGGCGCCGUGACCCCGGGGGCGCGCGGCGCUCCCGGAACAGAUGCACCGCCCACGCGCAGCAGUCGCACCCCGGCGCACGCACAGCGGCCGCGCGGCGGCUGCACACGCGACGGCUGCGCGCUUCCAACGGAGGAACCGCAGAGGAAGGAGCCGCAGAGGAAGGAGCCGCAGGGCGGGUGUGAACAGCGCACAUAUUUACAGGAUCAAUAUUUACCCACAUUUUUUUCUCGGGAGCCAACACCUGCUGCAUCUUUGUACAAAGUCGAGAAGUUGCGAACAGCCUCCUCAUUGUGAGCGCCGCAGAGCAGAGCGGAGCCGAGCCGAGCCGAGCGGAGCCCCAGUUACCUCUCCAACAAGAGGCUCAUUAAGACCGAGAGAGAGCCAGGAAGAGAAGAGGAGAGAGAAGGAGGAGGAAAAAACGAUUUUUAAGUGUUGACUAAUAGAGGAGCUCCAAGCCUGAUAUUUCUGGCAGAGGGGAGGAGCAGGCGGACAGGCAGCAUCUGUUGGACCCCCUGAUCGAGGCCAGAAAAAUCCGCUCCUGCACCCAUUCGUCACCGGCCGCUUCUUCCAACCAACUGGAAACCACUGAAUUAUGUUUUUAAAAAGCCCAUUUUAUCUCUUUCUCACCUACUCGAACAUUUGAUAAUUCCGCAACUUCAACCAGCUGCUUGUUUGAGCUUCCCUGCUGAAAAUAUUUCAAGGUUAAAUGGUUUAAUAGUAAUUAUAGUAAAGCAACAUUUGAAUAUUACAUCGUCUAAAUACAGUUUUAUCAGUCCUCAAUUGUGUUAACAAUCGUUUAAUUGUUAGCUCCGCCACCCACACAAUAGUUGGGUGAAGACAAAACCCACUAAUGGCUCAGCAAAGAAGAAGAUGAAUAAAAUUAAAAGACACCUGCA
rnacentral:lncRNA from 1 species